rnacentral:rRNA from 1 species
CCCUAUGGGGUGCACCAGUUCAGGGUGAAAACGCCGACGGAGAUCAACGCCGCAAUAGACCAAACUGUUUUUCUAUCCAUCCAGCCAAAGGAUGUAAUUGUCUGCCCUAUGAAAUAGAUACAGCAGCUGUUUUUCAGAAUUUCCCUUAGAGUGGAUUCAUCGAUUUCCUCCCAACCAAGGGGGGGGCAUCCCAAAAUUGAGGCGCCGUUUAUUGAGAAUUGUUGGCAGCAGACUGAUUGCCAAUGGCCAUGAUCCAUGAAUGGUGGAAAAUGACUUGACCGCAACUGUUGCGGCAAAUGAACAUGAGCAGCCGGCUGACGCUGGGAGAGC